rnacentral:rRNA from 1 species
UACGUAGGGGCCAAGCGUUAUCCGGAUUUACUGGGCGUAAAGAGCAUGUAGGUGGUCUGUUAAGUUGGACGUGAAAGCUCCUGGCUCAACUGGGAGAGGUCGUUCAAAACUAACAGACUAGAGGAUGGUAGAGGAGAGCGGAAUUCCAGGUGUAGCGGUGAAAUGCGUAGAUAUCAGGAGGAACACCGAUGGCGAAGGCAGGUCUCUGGGCAUUAACUGACGCUGAGGAGCGAAAGCAUGGGGAGCAAACAGG